rnacentral:lncRNA from 10 species
AGCUGGGCACCCUAGUAGGGACGGCUCCUCCUAGUGUUCAGUUUGCACCUGGUAAUGUUUUGGCACCAUCCGUCUACUACUAAGAGGGAGGUCUUUUUUCUAGAUGAGGAAACUGAAGCUUGGAAAGAGUCCAGCCCAGAACGAGGCAAAGAAGAGGCAGGAUUGCUGUCUCCCAAUGUGUGAAGCUCCAUCUUAAUAAAGCAGGUGCUGCCUGUGUCAAUACCCUGGUGGCUACCAGCUCAGCCCCUGGAAACUGACUGCCUUGGUUCCUUUCCUGGUUCCACUACAUGCUAGUUGUGAGAUCUUGGGCAAGCUACACCCUCUCUCAGCACCUGUCCUGUAAAAUGGAGACAACGACAGCACCCAUCUCACAGGAUUAUCGCUAGAAAGCACUCACAGUGGUAGCCAGCACCCAACACGUACUAUGACAAAUUUCCAUUGUUGUCGUUAUCAUCCUGUGACCCCUAAAGGUAAAAUGGAGCUGAACGCUGUAACUUACAGAAAGUGGGGUUUUUAUUUGUGUAGGGGAGAACUUUUUGCCUCACUCCCCUGCUGAACACUUUUCAAUUCCACUUCAUUACCCUUAGGAGAAAGGCAGAAAUCUUUAACGUGACCCCCACGGUCCUGCUCAUGCGGCCCUUGACUUGUAACAGUGAAACUGCCUAUGCAAAAUGAUGACUGAGACGGUGAAAGAAAUCUAUCUUAACUGACUCUGUUUUGCUUCUAACCUCCAAGCUGUCCUUGUUCAUUCCUGGGCGUAGGCUGAACUAACUUUGGGAGAAACUUUAUAGUUUACAGUUUAAACAAAGACAGUAACAGCCUUUCCCAAAACAGAUCUCCUUCUGGUCUGGGGACUAGACUGUCUUUGUAGGACUAACAAGUGUCACAUUAGAAAUGUGCCAAGAUUAGAAACAUAAGCAAAGAUUAGAGAUUAUGGUUUUGGAGUCAUGCAGCUGGAGGCUACAAGAUUCUGACCCUCCCUAAACUGCUCCUAAGAUCAGUGCUUGAGACGUUUUGCCGACCCUGCACUUGAUGGAUCAGCUGGUACCACCCAGAUCAAUAAACUGGCUCAUCUGAUCUUGUGGCCCCCACCCGGGAACUGACUGAGCACAAGAAGACAGCUCCAACUCCCUAUGAUUUCACCUCUGACCAAUCAACAGUCCUGGCUCUCUUCCUUCUCCCCGCCCACCAACUUAUCCUUAAAAACUCUGCUCCCCGAAUGCUCCGAAGACUGAUUUGAGUAAUAAUAGAACUCUGGUCUCCUGCACAGCCAGCUCUGCAUGAAUUACUCUUUCUCUAUUGCAAUUCCUCUGUCUUGAUGAAUUGGCUCUGUCCAGGCAGUGGGCAAGGUGAACCCCUUGGGUGGUUACAACAGGCUUAUCUUGCACUCCUUGGUCCCUUGCUCACUGUACUCCAUCUGUCAUCCUUUGGAAUUUCUUGUAUGCACAAUGCCCCCUGCCUCUAGCCUCAGGGCCUUUGCACAUGCAGUUUCUUCUGCCCAGAACAAUCUUCUAUCUUCCUCCUGGCCAAUCUCUGCCAACCCUUCAAUUUUCAACUUAAGUAUCAUUUCCUUAGAGAAACUUUUCCAGAUCUUCUAAGUGAGGCCAGUCCUCCUUCUUAUAUAUCCUCAUAGUAUCCUAUUCUCUGUAGCAGUUACCACAGUCAUAAUUUUUUCAUAUAAUUAUUUAAUGUCUACUUCUAAUGGUACCAGAAACAACCCUUGCCUUACUCACUGCUAUACUCUCAGCUCCCAGCACAGUGCCUGGCACUGAUAGGCAGCAGGAAACAUUUGGGGGUUUAAUGAAUACAUUUUCUCACCAGCUUUGCUGGGCAGGGCUGCCUUUAGGGGCCAUGAGGUGCACAUCCCCGGAGAUGUACAACCAAAGCCAGGGACAUGGUGAGCUGAAGAAGCACUCAGGUGAAUGAGGCCUCUCUGCUUCCUCCAGGGAGAAUUCAUUGCCACUAACCUUCAAGCUCUGAGGCUGCAAAAUUUGCAAGACAACAGCUGAGACUGAUGGGGGCUGAGAUUAGAUUAUUCCUUCAGGGAGGGGUAUCACCUCCUGGGGGAAAAGGGAAGGGGGUGGACACCCCCAAGUGGGAUGGGGGAAAGGAAUAGCUGCAAGAAAAGAAGGAGGGGGGGCCCUGGAGGACUAGCACAAAGGCCGGAUUUAGCCGCUGUGCAGGUCAACAUCCCUGAGUCUACACCAAUAGGAACCCCUUCCCUCUCCUCCUCUCCAGCUGCCUCUGCCCUCUGCACUCACAAAGCCUCAGAGCAAUCGCCCAACCCAUAUGGUAAAAUAUUCAUCGGGAUGCAAGGCAAGGCAAGAGACUGAGGCAGUGUCAGAAGAGGGGGUGGGGUUUCCUGGCUGAGAGGUCCUGGGUGCAUCUUCUUUGGGCAGCGAGCCACGAUGUUCUCUGCUUGGGAGCUGCGUGAGGGUCACAGCUUGGGCACAGCUAAACUCCUGAGGCUAGCACAAAUGUAUUUAACAUUCCACCAACGUCCAGCUACUGGGGACUCCUGCAUUAUUUAUUUAUUUUUGUACUAAUGGCCUGAAACGUCUACAGAGCAGCUCUUGGAUAGCAUGGUGACUAGAAACCCAGGCCCCUUGCUCCGCAUCUUCUGCAGUGUGAGCAGAGUUCAUGGUCUUGGGUCCCACUGACUAGCCCUGGGUCUGGAAUCACAGGCAGCAUUGGGGUGAUUUUCCUCCUUGCCAAGACACAGAUCCCUCUGAGGAGCGCCCGGUUAUUUUUGAGUCUUCUGUGCUCAAUCUUAUCCCUCAUUUCCAGGAACUGCAUUGGCACCCGAGGCUCUUGCAAGUGGCAAUUUAC